rnacentral:rRNA from 1 species
AGCUCCAGUAGCGUAUAUAAAAGUUGUUGCAGUUGAAAAGCUCGUAGUUGGAUUUCUGGCUUGGAACGACUGGCCCGCUGCGGUUACGUAGUGAGUGCCGGCUCGAUCCAGCCAUCCUUCCGGGGAACGUGCCUGCCCUUCAUUGGGUUGGGUACGGAACUCGGAUCGUUUACUUUGAAAAAAUUAGAGUGUUCAAAGCAGGCCUACGCCUUGAAUACAUUAGCAUGGAAUAAUGACAUAGGACUUUGGUUCUAUUUUGUUGGUUUCUAGGACUAAAGUAAUGAUUGAUAGGGAUAGUUGGGGGUGCUAGUAUUGUACGGCCAGAGGUGAAAUUCUUGGAUUCGUGCAAGACUAACUUAUGCGAAAGCAUUCACCAAGGAUGUCUUCUUUAAUCAAGAAC